ensembl:lncRNA
GGUCACCUGGUCAGGAAGUGACGGGGUCACGUGGUCAGGAAGUGACGGGGUCACGUGGUCAUGGGGUCACGAGGUCACAGCCUCAGAAGAUCAGGGGUCACGGGGUCAGGAGGUUCAAAGGUCAUGGGGUCAGAAAGGGUCACAAGGUCAGGACUUGAGCAGGUCCCAGGGUCAGGGGUGGCUGGAUCGGGAGGUCAAGGGUCACGGGGUCAGAAAGGGUCAUGGGACACGAAGGGUCACCGGGUCGGGGUCAGGAGGCGUCAUGAGAUCACGAGGUGGCACACGGUCAGGGGUCAUGGGGUCAGGAGAGGUCAUGGGGUCAGGGGUCAGGAGAGGUCAUGGGGUUGGGGUCACGGGGUCAGGAGAGAUCAUGGGGUUGGGGGUCAUGGGGUCAGCAGAGGUCAUGGGGUCAGGAGAGGUCAUGGGGUCGGGGUCAGUAGAGGUCAUGGGGUUGGGGUCACGGGGUCAGGAAAGAUCAUGGGGUUGGGGGUCAUGGGGUCAGCAGAGGUCAUGGGGUCAGGAGAGGUCAUGGGGUUGGGGUCAUGGGGUCACGGGGUCAGGACAGGUCAUGGGGUCGGGGGUCAUGGGGUCAGCAGAGAUCAUGGGGUCAUGGGGUCAUGAGAGGUCAUGGGGUCGGGGGGGCAGGGGUUAUGGGGUCAUGAGAGGUCACGGGGUCGGGGCCAGGGGGUCACGGGGUCAGCAGAGGUCAUGGGGUCAUGAGAGGUCAUGGGGUCGGGGUCAUGGGGUCAGGAGAGGUCAUGAGAUUGGGAUCAAGGGGUCACAGGGUCAGGACAGGUCAUGGGGUCGGGGGUCAUGGGGUCAGCAGAGGUCAUGGAGUUGGGGAUCAGGGGUCAUGGGGUCAGGAGAGGUCAUGGGGUCGGGGUCACGGGGUCACAGGAUCAGGACAGGUCAUGGGGCCGGGGGGCAGGGGUUAUGGGGUCAUGAGAGGUCACGGGGUCGGGGCCAGGGGGUCAGCAGAGAUCAUGGGGUCAUGGGGUCAUGAGAGGUCAUGGGGUCGGGGGGGCAGGGGUUAUGGGGUCAUGAGAGGUCACGGGGUCGGGGUCAUGGGGUCACGGGGUCAAAGGUCACGGGCGCCCCCCACCUUGGAGCUGAGCGUGCGGAAGAUCCCCUCGAAGGUGCUGCCGCUGCGCACGCGCACCAGGCACGUCGAGCCCUGCCGAUGUGUGGGGCAGACCCAUAGCGCGACCCACGGCGGGACCCAGACCCAUAGCGCGACCCACAGCGGGACCCAGACCCAUAGCGCGACCCAGACCCACAGCGCGACCCACAGCGCAACCCACAGCGGGGCCCACAGCGGGGCCCAGACCCAUAGCGCGACCCAGACCCAUAGCGCGACCCAGACCCAUAGCGCGACCCACAGCGAGACCCAGACCCAUAGCCGAACCCAUAGCAUGACCCAGACCUAUAACAGAACCCACAGCGCGACCCACAGCGGGACCCAGACCCAUAGCGGUACCCAGACCCACAGCGGGACCCAGACCCACAGCGGGACCCACAACAUGACCCAGACCCACAGCGCGACCCAGAGCAGGACCCAGACCCAUAGCGGGACCCAGACCCAUAGCGGGACCCACAGCAGGACCCAGACCCAUAGCGCGACCCACAGCGGGACCCACAGCGGGGCCCAGACCCACAGCAGGACCCAGAGCAGGACCCAGACCCAUAGCGGGACCCAGACCCAUAGCGGGACCCACAGCAGGACCCAGACCCAUAGCGAGACCCAGAGCAGAACCCAGACCUAUAACAGAACCCACAGCGUGACCCACAGCAAGACCCAGCCCCACAGCGAGACCCACAACGUGACUCAAAAUACAACCCAGCCCCAUAGCGAGACCCACAGCGUGACCCAGACCCAUAGCGCGACCCACAGCGGGACCCAGACCCAUAGCGGGACCCACAGUGGGACCCAGACCCAUAGCGGGACCUACAGCGCAACCCAGACCCAUAACAAGACCCAAAGCAUGACCCAGACCCAUAGCAGGACCCAGACCCACAGCGUGACCCACAGCAGGACCCAGACCCAUAGCGCGACCCACAGCAGGACCCAGACCCAUAGCGCGACCCACAGCAGGACCCAGACCCAUAACAGAACCCACAGCGUGACCCACAGCGGGACCCAGACCCAUAGCGCGACCCAGACCCAUAGCGGGACCCACAGCGGGACCCAGGCCCACAGCGGGACUCAGCCCCAUAGCGACACCCAUAGCGAGACCCAGACCCAUAGCGAGACCCACAGCGGGACCCAGACCCACAGCGCGCCCCAUAGCGUGGCCUGGACCCACAGUACGACCCACAGCGUAGCCCAGACCCACAGCAACACCCACAACAUGACCCACAGCAAGACCCAUAAAGCAACCCAGCCCCACAGCACGACCCAGCCCCAUAACGCGACCCACAGCGCAACCCUGACCCACAGCGUGACCCACGGCAAGCCCCAGCCCCACAUCCUGACCCGUAUCCAGCCCGACAUCUGCAACGCGCCCCAUAACGCGCCCCAUAGCGAAGCCCAGACCCACGGCACGACUCCCAACGCCCCUCAGCCCCACAGCCGCCCCAUAGCAGCUCCCCCCCCCCGGCCCCACAGCGCCCCACAUCUCACCACGACGGCCGUCAGGAAGUGCAGCAUCCGGGAGUUGUUGUAGACGCCCUCAAACAUCUGUGGGGCGCGACACAGUGGGGCAGACCCCCAAGUGGGGAACGGAGCGGCUGAACCAACCCCCCCGCCCCAUAACUUAGGGGGCCGCCCCACAACUUGGGGGGCACUCACCGGUGCUGGGGGGGGGCCCUUCCCCGUGCUCUGUCCUCUGGAAGGAAAAAACCCCACAGCGGGGAUGGGGGUCAGCCCCAUAGAUCCCCACAGCGCGCUGCCCCAUAGAUCCACACUGACCCCAUAGCACACUGCCCCAUAGAUCCCCACUGACCCCAUAGG